GACGAACGCUGGCGGCGUGCCUGACACAUGCAAGUCGGACGGUUCUUGUACCUUCAAGCUUGCUUGUUGGUGCAAGGAUAGUGGCGGACGGGUGAGUAACGCGUGAACAUCUACCCAUUGGAGGGGGACAACCCGUCGAAAGGCGGGCUAAUACCGCGUAAGCCGCGAGGUGAGAGGCUGCCUAUUGGUGGCCGCCGAUGGAUGGGUUCGCGUCCUAUCAGCUGGUUGGUGGGGUAACGGCCUACCAAGGCGAAGACGGGUAGCCGGUCUGAGAGGAUGGCCGGCCACACUGGAACUGAGACACGGUCCAGACUCCUACGGGAGGCAGCAGUGGGGAAUAUUGGGCAAUGGGGGAGACCCUGACCCAGCGACGCCGCGUGAGGGACGAAGGUUUUCGGAUCGUAAACCUCUGUUGUACGGGAAGAAGGAAUUGACGGUACCGGUACCGAGAAGGACCGGCCGAACUAACGUGCACGACGAGCGCCGGUAAACGUAACGUACUACGUCUCGUAGCGGGCCGUGGCGGAAGGACGGCGA
rnacentral:rRNA from 1 species